rnacentral:rRNA from 1 species
CAUGGUUGUCGUCAGCUCGUGUCGUGAGAUGUUGGGUUAAGUCCCGCAACGAGCGCAACCCUUAUGACUAGUUGCCAGCAUUUAGUUGGGCACUCUAGUAAGACUGCCGGUGACAAACCGGAGGAAGGUGGGGAUGACGUCAAAUCAUCAUGCCCCUUAUGACCUGGGCUACACACGUGCUUCAAUGGAUGGUACAACGAGUUGCAAGACCGCGAGGUCAAGCUAAUCUCUUAAAGCCAUUCUCAUUUCGGACUGUAAGCUGCAACUCGCCUACACUAAGUCGGAAAUCGCUAGUAAUCGCGGAUCACCACGCCACGGUGGAAUACGUUCCCGGGUCUUGAACACACCGC